rnacentral:rRNA from 1 species
GACGAACGCUGGCGGCGUGCUUAACACAUGCAAGUCGAACGGAAAGGCCCUGCUUUUGUGGGGUGCUCGAGUGGCGAACGGGUGAGUAACACGUGAGUAACCUGCCCUUGACUUUGGGAUAACUUCAGGAAACUGGGGCUAAUACCGGAUAGGAGCUCCUGCUGCAUGGUGGGGGUUGGAAAGUUUCGGCGGUUGGGGAUGGACUCGCGGCUUAUCAGCUUGUUGGUGGGGUAGUGGCUUACCAAGGCUGUGACGGGUAGCCGGCCUGAGAGGGUGACCGGCCACAUUGGGACUGAGAGACGGCGCAGAAUCCUACGGGAGGCAGCAGUGGGGAAUAUGGCACAAUGGGCGGAAGCCUGAUGCAGCAACGCCGCGUGCGGGAUGACGGCCUUCGGGUUGUAAACCGCUUUCGCCUGUGACGAAGCGUGAGUGACGGUAAUGGGUAAAGAAGCACCGGCUAACUACGUG